rnacentral:rRNA from 1 species
GUCCUUUUGAUCAUAAUUUAAGGUCUGGCCUGCCCACUGAAUAUUUGAAUGGCCGCGGUAUUUUGACCGUGCAAAGGUAGCAUAAUCAUUAGUUUUUUAAUUGAAAGCUGGAAUGAAAGGUUGGAUGAGAAAAUAACUGUCUCUAUUUAAUUUAAUUAGAAUUUUAUUUUUAAGUUAAAAAGCUUAAAUUUAAUUAAAAGACGAGAAGACCCUAUAGAGUUUUAUAUUAAUAUAUUAAUAUAAUUUUUAGAAUUAAAUAUUUAUUAUUAUUUUAAUAUUUGAUUGGGGUGAUUUAAAAAUUAAAAGAACUUUUUAUAUAUUUAAACAUUAAUAUAUGAUUAAUUGAUCCAUAGUUUAUGAUUAAAAGACAAAAUUACCUUAGGGAUAACAGCGUAAUUUUUUUAGAGAGUUCAAAUCGAAAAAAAAGAUUGCGACCUCGAUGUUGGAUUAAAAUUAAUUUUUGGUGUAGAAGCUAAGAAUAUUAGGUCUGUUCGACCUUUAAAAUUUUACA